rnacentral:rRNA from 1 species
UACGGGAGGCAGCAGGGGGGAAUAUUGGACAAUGGGCGAAAGCCUGAUCCAGCCAUGCCGCGUGUGUGAAGAAGGUCUUCGGAUUGUAAAGCACUUUAAGUUGGGAGGAAGGGCAGUAACCUAAUACGCUAUUGUUUUGACGUUACCGACAGAAUAAGCACCGGCUAACUUCGUGCCAGCAGCCGCGGUAAUACGAAGGGUGCAAGCGUUAAUCGGAAUUACUGGGCGUAAAGCGCGCGUAGGUGGUUCAGUAAGUUGGAAGUGAAAUCCCCGGGCUCAACCUGGGAACUGCUUUCAAAACUGCUGAGCUAGAGUACGGUAGUGGGUGGUGGAAUUUCCUGUGUAGCGGUGAAAUGCGUAGAUAUAGGAAGGAACACCAGUGGCGAAGGCGACCACCUGGACUGAUACUGACACUGAGGUGCGAAAGCGGGGGGAGCAAACAGGAUUAGAUACCCUGGUAGUCCACGCCGUAAACGAUGUCAACUAGCCGUUGGGAGUCUUGAACUCUUAGUGGCGCAGCUAACGCAUUAAGUUGACCGCCUGGGGAGUACGGCCGCAAGGUUAAAACUCAAAUGAAUUGACGGAAGGGCGAAUUC